AAGCCGGUUGUGAAAGCCCCGGGCUCAACCUGGGAACGGCAUCCGGAACUGUCAGGCUAGAGUGCAGGAGAGGAAGGUAGAAUUCCCGGUGUAGCGGUGAAAUGCGUAGAGAUCGGGAGGAAUACAGUGGCGAAGGCGGCCUUCUGGACUGACACUGACGCUGAGGUGCGAAAGCGUGGGUAGCAAACAGGAUUAGAUACCCUGGUAGUCCACGCCGUAAACGAUGUCGACUAGCCGUUGGGGUCCUUGAGACCUUUGUGGCGCAGUUAACGCGAUAAGUCGAACCGCCUGGGGAGUACGGCCGCAAGGUUAAAACUCAAAUGAAUUGACGGGGGCCCGCACAAGCGGUGGAGCAUGUGGUUUAAUUCGAUGCAACGCGAAGAACCUUACCUACCCUUGACAUCGAGAGAACUUGGCAGGGAUGCCUUGGUGCCUUCGGGAACUCUCAGACAGGUGCUGCAUGGCCGUCGUCAGCUCGUGUUGUGAAAUGUUGGGUUAAGUCCCGUAACGAGCGCAACCCUUGUCCCUAUUUGCCAGCGAUUCGGUCGGGAACUCUAGGGAGACUGCCGGUGACAAAUCCGGAGGAAGGUGGGGACGACGUCAGGUCAUCAUGGCCCUUACGGGUAGGGCUACACACGUGCUACAAUGGCCGGUACAAAGGGUUGCGAAGCCGCGAGGUGGAGCCAAUCCCGAAAAGCCGGUCUCAGUCCGGAUCGGAGUCUGCAACUCGACUCCGUGAAGUCGGAAUCGCUAGUAAUCGUGAAUCAGAAUGUCACG
rnacentral:rRNA from 1 species